rnacentral:rRNA from 1 species
AGGGGGCUCCGGCUCCCGCUAUCGGAUGAGCCUAUGUCGGAUUAGCUGGUUGGUGAGGUAAAGGCUCACCAAGGCGACGAUCCGUAGCUGGUCUGAGAGGAUGAUCAGCCACAUCGGGACUGAGACACGGCCCGAACUCCUACGGGAGGCAGCAGUGGGGAAUAUUGGACAAUGGGGGGAACCCUGAUCCAGCCAUGCCGCGUGUGUGAAGAAGGCCCUCGGGUUGUAAAGCACUUUCAGUGAGGAAGAACGCCUGGUGGUUAAUACCCAUCAGGAAAGACAUCACUCACAGAAGAAGCACCGGCUAACUCCGUGCCAGCAGCCGCGGUAAUACGGAGGGUGCGAGCGUUAAUCGGAAUUACUGGGCGUAAAGCGCGCGUAGGUGGCUUGAUAAGCCGGUUGUGAAAGCCCCGGGCUCAACCUGGGAACGGCAUCCGGAACUGUCAAGCUAGAGUGCAGGAGAGGAAGGUAGAAUUCCCGGUGUAGCGGUGAAAUGCGUAGAGAUCGGGAGGAAUACCAGUGGCGAAGGCGGCCUUCUGGACUGACACUGACACUGAGGUGCGAAAGCGUGGGUAGCAAACAGGAUUAGAUACCCUGGUAGUCCACGCCGUAAACGAUGUCGACCAGCCGUUGGGUGCCUAGCGCACUUUGUGGCGAAGUUAACGCGAUAAGUCGACCGCCUGGGGAGUACGGCCGCAAGGUUAAAACUCAAAUGAAUUGACGGGGGCCCGCACAAGCGGUGGAGCAUGUGGUUUAAUUCGAUGCAACGCGAAGAACCUUACCUACUCUUGACAUCCUGCGAAUUUGGUAGAGAUACCUUAGUGCCUUCGGGAACGCAGAGACAGGUGCUGCAUGGCUGUCGUCAGCUCGUGCUGUGAAAUGUUGGGUUAAGUCCCGUAACGAGCGCAACCCUUGUCCUUAUUUGCCAGCGCGUAAUGGCGGGAACUCUAAGGAGACUGCCGGUGACAAACCGGAGGAAGGUGGGGA